UACGAACGCUGGCGGCGUGCUUAACACAUGCAAGUCGAACGGAAAGGCCCUGCUUUUGUGGGGUGCUCGAGUGGCGAACGGGUGAGUAACACGUGAGUAACCUGCCCUUGACUUUGGGAUAACUUCAGGAAACUGGGGCUAAUACCGGAUAGGAGCUCCUGCUGCAUGGUGGGGGUUGGAAAGUUUCGGCGGUUGGGGAUGGACUCGCGGCUUAUCAGCUUGUUGGUGGGGUAGUGGCUUACCAAGGCUUUGACGGGUAGCCGGCCUGAGAGGGUGACCGGCCACAUUGGGACUGAGAUACGGCCCAGACUCCUACGGGAGGCAGCAGUGGGGAAUAUUGCACAAUGGGCGGAAGCCUGAUGCAGCAACGCCGCGUGCGGGAUGACGGCCUUCGGGUUGUAAACCGCUUUCGCCUGUGACGAAGCGUGAGUGACGGUAAUGGGUAAAGAAGCACCGGCUAACUACGUGCCAGCAGCCGCGGUGAUACGUAGGGUGCGAGCGUUGUCCGGGUUUAUUGGGCGUAAAGGGCUCGUAGGUGGUUGAUCGCGUCGGAAGUGUAAUCUUGGGGCUUAACCCUGAGCGUGCUUUCGAUACGGGUUGACUUGAGGAAGGUAGGGGAGAAUGGAAUUCCUGGUGGAGCGGUGGAAUGCGCAGAUAUCAGGAGGAACACCAGUGGCGAAGGCGGUUCUCUGGGCCUUUCCUGACGCUGAGGAGCGAAAGCGUGGGGAGCGAACAGGCUUAGAUACCCUGGUAGUCCACGCUGUAAACGGUGGGUACUAGGUGUGGGGUCCAUUCCACGGGUUCCGUGCCGUAGCUAACGCUUUAAGUACCCCGCCUGGGGAGUACGGCCGCAAGGCUAAAACUCAAAGGAGUUGACGGGGCCCCGCACAAGCGGCGGAGCAUGCGGAUUAAUUCGAUGCAACGCGUAGAACCUUACCUGGGUUUGACAUGGAUCGGGAGUGCUCAGAGAUGGGUGUGCCUCUUUUGGGGUCGGUUCACAGGUGGUGCAUGCCUGUCGUCAGCUCGUGUCGUGAGAUGUUGGGUUAAGUCCCGCAACGAGCGCAACCCUUGUUCACUGUUGCCAGCACGUUAUGGUGGGGACUCAGUGGAGACCGCCGGGGUCAACUCGGAGGAAGGUGGGGAUGACGUCAAGUCAUCAUGCCCCUUAUGUCCAGGGCUUCACGCAUGCUACAAUGGCUGGUACAGAGAGUGGCGAGCCUGUGAGGGUGAGCGAAUCUCGGAAAGCCGGUCUCAGUUCGGAUUGGGGCCUGCAACUCGACCUCAUGAAGUGGGAGUCGCUAGUAAUCGCAGAUCAGCAACGCUGCCUCGAAAAGGGUCCCGGGGCU
rnacentral:rRNA from 1 species